CCUACGGGUGGCAGCAGUGGGGAAUAUUGCACAAUGGGGGAAACCCUGAUGCAGCGACGCCGCGUGAGUGAAGAAGGAAUUCGGUAUGUAAAGCUCUAUCAGCAGGGAAGAAAAUGACGGUACCUGAGUAAGAAGCCACGGCUAACUACGUGCCAGCAGCCGCGGUAAUACGUAGGGGGCAAGCGUGAUCCGGAUUUACUGGGUGUAAAGGGAGAGUAGACGGGAGUGCAAGUCUGGAGUGAAAGGCGGGGGCUCAACCCCCGGACUGCGCUGGAAACUGUCAGGCUGGAGUGCAGGAGGGGUAAGUGGAAUUCCUGGUGUAGCGGUGAAAUGCGUAGAUAUUAGGAGGAACACCAGUGGCGAAGGCGGCUUACUGGACUGUAACUGACGUUGAGGCUCGAAAGCGUGGGGAGCAAACAGGAUUAGAUACCCGUGUAGUC
rnacentral:rRNA from 1 species